GUCUGUCCUGCCCUUCGUGAGACUCCGGAUUCGGACUUCAGGCAGCACCUGGGAGCCAGGAGGGGAAUGAGGCGGGUUCCCGGGAGCUCGGAGUCCCACCCUCUGUGCACUCGGUCCUGCCCUUCGGGAAACUGUCACCUGUGACACGUCCUCAGCGUCACUAUUACAAAUACCGGCGGAGCUCUCGCCCCAGGUUCUGAACGAGUUGAGACAAAGGCUAAAGACCAGAUGGAAAACAUUGCCUCAGCCUCAGCUCCUGACCCAGCCUGGGGACACUGUGAUCCCCGAGGGCCACCAGGGUAAUCCAGGAUCAUCUGCAUCUGAAGAUCCUCAAC